GAUGAACGCUGGCGGCGUGCCUAAUACAUGCAAGUCGAGCGAACGGACGAGAAGCUUGCUUCUCUGAUGUUAGCGGCGGACGGGUGAGUAACACGUGGAUAACCUACCUAUAAGACUGGGAUAACUUCGGGAAACCGGAGCUAAUACCGGAUAAUAUUUUGAACCGCAUGGUUCAAAAGUGAAAGACGGUCUUGCUGUCACUUAUAGAUGGAUCCGCGCUGCAUUAGCUAGUUGGUAAGGUAACGGCUUACCAAGGCAACGAUGCAUAGCCGACCUGAGAGGGUGAUCGGCCACACUGGAACUGAGACACGGUCCAGACUCCUACGGGAGGCAGCAGUAGGGAAUCUUCCGCAAUGGGCGAAAGCCUGACGGAGCAACGCCGCGUGAGUGAUGAAGGUCUUCGGAUCGUAAAACUCUGUUAUUAGGGAAGAACAUAUGUGUAAGUAACUGUGCACAUCUUGACGGUACCUAAUCAGAAAGCCACGGCUAACUACGUGCCAGCAGCCGCGGUAAUACGUAGGUGGCAAGCGUUAUCCGGAAUUAUGGGGCGUAAAGCGCGCGUAGGCGGUUUUUUAAGUCUGAUGUGAAAGCCCACGGCUCAACCGUGGAGGGUCAUUGGAAACUGGAAAACUUGAGUGCAGAAGAGGAAAGUGGAAUUCCAUGUGUAGCGGUGAAAUGCGCAGAGAUAUGGAGGAACACCAGUGGCGAAGGCGACUUUCUGGUCUGUAACUGACGCUGAUGUGCGAAAGCGUGGGGAUCAAACAGGAUUAGAUACCCUGGUAGUCCACGCCGUAAACGAUGAGUGCUAAGUGUUAGGGGGUUUCCGCCCCUUAGUGCUGCAGCUAACGCAUUAAGCACUCCGCCUGGGGAGUACGACCGCAAGGUUGAAACUCAAAGGAAUUGACGGGGACCCGCACAAGCGGUGGAGCAUGUGGUUUAAUUCGAAGCAACGCGAAGAACCUUACCAAAUCUUGACAUCCUUUGACAACUCUAGAGAUAGAGCUUUCCCCUUCGGGGGACAAAGUGACAGGUGGUGCAUGGUUGUCGUCAGCUCGUGUCGUGAGAUGUUGGGUUAAGUCCCGCAACGAGCGCAACCCUUAAGCUUAGUUGCCAUCAUUAAGUUGGGCACUCUAAGUUGACUGCCGGUGACAAACCGGAGGAAGGUGGGGAUGACGUCAAAUCAUCAUGCCCCUUAUGAUUUGGGCUACACACGUGCUACAAUGGACAAUACAAAGGGCAGCGAAACCGCGAGGUCAAGCAAAUCCCAUAAAGGUGUUCUCAGUUCGGAUUGUAGUCUGCAACUCGACUACAUGAAGCUGGAAUCGCUAGUAAUCGUAGAUCAGCAUGCUACGGUGAGUACGUUCCCGGGUCU
rnacentral:rRNA from 1 species